rnacentral:rRNA from 1 species
GAUGAACGCUGGCGGCGUGCCUAAUACAUGCAAGUCGAGCGAACAGACGAGGAGCUUGCUCCUCUGACGUUAGCGGCGGACGGGUGAGUAACACGUGGAUAACCUACCUAUAAGACUGGGAUAACUUCGGGAAACCGGAGCUAAUACCGGAUAAUAUAUUGAACCGCAUGGUUCAAUAGUGAAAGACGGUUUUGCUGUCACUUAUAGAUGGAUCCGCGCCGCAUUAGCUAGUUGGUAAGGUAACGGCUUAUCAAGGCAACGAUGCGUAGCCGACCUGAGAGGGUGAUCGGCCACACUGGAACUGUGACACGGUCCAGACUCCUACGGGAGGCAGCAGUAGGGAAUCUUCCGCAAUGGGCGAAAGCCUGACGGAGCAACGCCGCGUGAGUGAUGAAGGUCUUCGGAUCGUAAAACUCUGUUAUUAGGGAAGAACAAAUGUGUAAGUAACUAUGCACGUCUUGACGGUACCUAAUCAGAAAGCCACGGCUAACUACGUG